GAUGAAGAACGUAGCGAAAUGCGAUAAGUAAUGCGAAUUGCAGAAUUCAGUGAAUCAUCGAAUCUUUGAACGCACAUUGCGCCCGCUAGUAUUCUGGCGGGCAUGCCUGUCUGAGCGUCAUUUCAACCCUCAUGCCCCUAGGGCGUGGUGUUGGGGAUCGGCCAAAGCCCGCGAGGGACGGCCGGCCCCUAAAUCUAGUGGCGGACCCGUCGUGGCCUCCUCUGCGAAGUAGUGAUAUUCCGCAUCGGAGAGCGAUGAGCCCCUGCCGUUAAACCCCCAACUUUCCAAGGUUGACCUCAGAUCAGGUAGGAAUACCCGCUGAACUUAAGCAUAUCAAUAAGCGGAGGA
rnacentral:misc_RNA from 1 species